rnacentral:misc_RNA from 1 species
GUGAAUCAUCGAAUUUUUGAACGCAAAUUGCACUCUCUGGCAUUCCGGAGAGCAUGCCUGUUUGAGGGUCAGUUUAAAUAACAAUCGAGGUUUUGCUGUUUGGUGUCCCAUCGGAACUGGGUUAUCUUUCACCUUUUAAAAAGUUUAAGCGACCUAAAAUUUUUACCUUCUGCAUCCCAGACGCACAUAAGAAUAUCAUUUUACCCGUCUGCAGUU